GGACCUCACUGGCGAUCUGGCUGCGACAUCUGUCACCCACUGAUGGCCAGGGUUGAUUGGGCUGAUCCGGCUGGCAAGGCCGGUGUCCCCUUCCUCCCUCACCACUGGCUCCUUGUGUGUCCCUCCCGAAGCUGCGUGCUGGGUGGAAGAGGACAACCAUCCCCAAUGGAGGAGGACCAGUCUUCGGUCAAGGGCACAUGAGUAGCUGCGCUCCCCUGCUACAGCCUCCAAACAAGCUCUCAAGGAUUUUCUUUGUGUAUUCCAUAUAGAAGCAUAUGUCCAUAAACACCUAGACUUAGAUUAAACAGUGAACUAGU
ensembl:misc_RNA 7SK 7SK RNA